rnacentral:rRNA from 1 species
UAGGGAAUCUUCGGCAAUGGACGAAAGUCUGACCGAGCAACGCCGCGUGAGUGAAGAAGGUUUUCAGAUCGUAAAACUCUGUUGUUAGAGAAGAACAAGGACGUUAGUAACUGAACGUCCCCUGACGGUAUCUAACCAGAAAGCCACGGCUAACUACGUGCCAGCAGCCGCGGUAAUACGUAGGUGGCAAGCGUUGUCCGGAUUUAUUGGGCGUAAAGCGAGCGCAGGCGGUUUCUUAAGUCUGAUGUGAAAGCCCCCGGCUCAACCGGGGAGGGUCAUUGGAAACUGGGAGACUUGAGUGCAGAAGAGGAGAGUGGAAUUCCAUGUGUAGCGGUGAAAUGCGUAGAUAUAUGGAGGAACACCAGUGGCGAAGUCGGCUCUCUGGUCUGUAACUGACGCUGAGGCUCGAAAGCGUGGGGAGCAAACAGG